CCUACGGGUGGCAGCAGUGAGGAAUAUUGGUCAAUGGACGAGAGUCUGAACCAGCCAAGUAGCGUGAAGGAUGACUGCCCUAUGGGUUGUAAACUUCUUUUAUAUGGGAAUAAAACGUUCCACGUGUGGGAUUUUGUAUGUACCAUAUGAAUAAGGAUCGGCUAACUCCGUGCCAGCAGCCGCGGUAAUACGGAGGAUCCGAGCGUUAUCCGGCUUUAUUGGGGUUAAAGGGAGCGUAGGUGGAUUGUUAAGUCAGUUGUGAAAGUUUGCGGCUCAACCGUAAAAUUGCAGUUGAAACUGGCAGUCUUGAGUACAGUAGAGGUGGGCGGAAUGCGUGGUGUAGCGGUGAAAUGCUUAGAUAUCACGAAGAACUCCGAUUGCGAAGGCAGUUCACUGGACUGCAACUGACACUGAGGCUCGAAAGUGUGGGUAUCAAACAGGAUUAGAUACCCUUGUAGUC
rnacentral:rRNA from 1 species